GGGGUUGACUGGAUUUGACAGCAGGAUGAGAUGGUAUGUAAGCACGCGGAGUCACGACUGUAGACUCCAUAAUAAAUGCGGUCAAAAAAUUAAUUGGCAAUAACAAUUAUGCUCUCGCUGCCUAAUCGAAGAACAGUAGAUUACUGGCUUUAUCUGACUACAAGGUAGUUAGACGAGACGUUGCUCCGAGGAUGUUGUUCCGAAUCCGAAGAAUCAGCAGCGCAGGUUAAAUCGGAAAUAGUUGACUUAGGCCUUGAUAGGUCAAUGAAAAAUUAGAGGAUAAGGGUGUAGUUGGUGGUCUAGGUCUUGCUGCAUCACGAAAAUGAAGUCUAGAAUAAGCGUGUAGAAAGCAUAUGGUUUCCCUGUUUGGACGAGGGUUCGACUCCCUCCAGCUCCACAC
rnacentral:tmRNA from 1 species